CAGUCGCCACGGGAAUACAGAGGGUGCGAGCGUUAAUCGGAUUUACUGGGCGUAAAGCGUGCGUAGGCGGCUUCUUAAGUCGGAUGUGAAAUCCCUGAGCUUAACUUAGGAAUUGCAUUCGAUACUGGGAAGCUAGAGUAUGGGAGAGGAUGGUAGAAUUCCAGGUGUAGCGGUGAAAUGCGUAGAGAUCUGGAGGAAUACCGGUGGCGAAGGCGGCCCCCUGGACAAAGACUGACGCUCAGGUGCGAAAGCGUGGGGAGCAAACAGGAUUAGAGACCCCUGUAGUCCCUGUCUCUUAUAC
rnacentral:rRNA from 1 species